rnacentral:sRNA from 1 species
AAUGAUCCUGUAGAAUCUUCCUUGCGAUGUUUCUGCAUGACAGAUGACAAAGUGGACAAAACUUUAGAGCAACAAGAGAAUUUUGAGGAGGUCGCAAGAAGCAAAGAUAUUGAGGUUCUGGAAGGAAAACCUAUUUAUGUUGAUUGUUAUGGAAAUUUGGCCCCACUUACCAAAGGAGGACAGCAACUUGUUUUUAACUUUUAUUCUUUCAAAGAAAAUAGGCUGCCAUUUUCCAUCAAGAUUAGAGACACCAGCCAAGAGCCCUGUGGUCGUCUGUCUUUUCUGAAAGAACCAAAGACAACAAAAGGACUGCCUCAAACAGCGGUUUGCAACUUAAAUAUCACUCUGCCAGCACAUAAAAAGGUAUCUUUUAAUGCUGCUUUAAAUUGUCUUUCCCUGGUCUUGAAGAAGUGGGCCUUUGGUAUGCAAUUAAGGAAUGCUUUGUAACAUGAAUAAAGCUCUUGAAACUG